UCUUCCUCAGGCUGCUUUGUAGUGAUGUGUCGGUCGUGAACGAUCCGGCUCUAAGAGCCGGCUCUUUGAAGUGAACGAUUGGAACCGGCUCGACAAUGGGAGCCGUUUUAGGAUCCUAUUUGGGAGCCGGGUUUUUUUCUACAGUAUAUCGCUGUCUCUCCGCCUCCCUGUCGUUGUG